rnacentral:rRNA from 1 species
CCUACGGGAGACAGCAGUGGGGAAUAUUGCACAAUGGGGGAAAGCCUGAUGGAGCAACGCCGCGUGGGUGAAGAAGGUCUUCGGAUCGUAAAACCCUGUUGUUAGAGAAGAAAGUUCGUGAGAGUAACUGUUCACGUUUCGACGGUAUCUAACCAGAAAGCCACGGCUAACUACGUGCCAGCAGCCGCGGUAAUACGUAGGUGGCAAGCGUUAUCCGGAUUUAUUGGGCGUAAAGGGAACGCAGGCGGUCUUUUAAGUCUGAUGUGAAAGCCUUCGGCUUAACCGGAGUAGUGCAUUGGAAACUGGGAGACUGGAGUGCAGAAGAGGAGAGUGGAACUCCAUGUGUAGCGGUGAAAUGCGUAGAUAUAUGGAAGAACACCAGUGGCGAAAGCGGCUCUCUGGUCUGUAACUGACGCUGAGGUUCGAAAGCGUGGGUAGCAAACAGGAUUAGAUACCCCAGUAGUC